AAAUUGAAGAGUUUGAUCAUGGCUCAGAUUGAACGCUGGCGGCAGGCCUAACACAUGCAAGUCGAACGGUAACAGGAAGCAGCUUGCUGCUUCGCUGACGA
rnacentral:rRNA from 3 species